GGAGCUGUGUAACUGCUGGAAUUGCAUUGCCUUGCCAGCUCACUCAGGAGCGCCAGAGCUCCAUGUAGAGGCAUCAGGCUGUGUCCGCACUGUGAGCCAACAUCACAUCAGAGUCUGUGCCCAUUAAGCCAGAAUUCAUUUAUAUUGAACAUUGGCUUGCAUCUAAGCAGAUAUAGGCUUAGGCCAUGCUCUGUGAAGCACUCUGGAGCAGAGAAGUUUAAACCUUAGCACAGAACCAGUCUCAUUCAUUCAGCCUGCAAUUCGGUUGGUGAGGACAGGAAACGUGUGGGUGAACUUGGGGUAUGGAAAAGACAAACCCCAAGGAAAUUUCAGCUGGAUGCAAGCCUUUAAAAUUAGGAAUCUCUGUCUGGUUAGCACACACUGGAGAUGUUUAUCAUGUCCGAUGACCUGUUUUUCUGAGUGGACAACGUGCCCACGUAUAAUUAAGAUAUGGUGAAAGUUUAUUGUAUAAGUGUGCUGGAAUUUUGGUUUGGCUUUGCAAUAAAGGGAUCACUGAGUCACAGUUGCUUAACAGACCACAGAGGAUACAGGUCUCUGCUGCUGAGCUACCAUAAAUAUAAAGAAUUCAAAUUAAUUUAUUUCCCAGUCCAGGCAAAAGCGUCUAUGCUGUAAAUAAGGCUGUGGCUUGAUGACACAAAGCCUUUGCUGUGUGAUUGGCUCCUAGUUGCACCUUGUUCCUGCAAUGCAGCAUGCCACUCCUUAGCUGUGCCUGCAGCUCUAUGUGUGGCUGAAAUGGGAACUGGAUCAGGAUACCAAUCCAUCAGAAAAACAACCCAUGUGAAAAUGUGUAAAUAUAUUUUAAAUUUUAUAAACAUAUUUAAAAUAGACGCAUGUGUUCUUCAAGUUCCUUUAUCAUCUAGUUUAUAAUUCAAAGGCUAUGGAUGGAUUCUGUGCUUCCUUACAACUACAGGAGCAGGCCAAAGUGUAGCAACGAGGUUAAAUGUGAAACAGCCUGGUGAGGAAGGAUUUGUUCCUCAAACAACGGUUGAAUAUUGAGCCUGUAAAGCAUAACUGGAUUGCUUUACAGGAUUGUUGUGCAAGCAGUUAAUGUGUUGUGUGUGUUUGAAUAGCAUCUCAUACUGUUUGAGACAUACACAUUUUGCAUUAAAUACAGCUCAACAAUUGGGAUAGUUUUUCUGGUAGCACUCAAAUUAUAACCCAGGUUAACCAUACAUUGAAGAGAAGGUCAGUGUGAUGUCUCUUCCCUGGCACCUUUACAAACCCUGCUGUCUGUUGGUCUCCAUUCUCUAGUGCUAUUGAUUUCAGGACACCAAAGUUCUUCUGUGGAACUCAAGGAGUCUUUUUGCUGUUGUUCAUUUGAACUGUCCCAAGUGAGGCCAUGGCAGCAUGCUGCAGUCUUCCUGGAGGAGCAGGAGUCACAGGAAGUCUGUAGCACUACUCCUAGUGCACACAAAUUCCCUGCCGCCGUGGUUUGGAAGCAGCAGGAAGUGAAAGUUCCUGCUAUGCACAGCGAAGACUGUUGCAAGAAGGUCUCCCUCCUAACAUGAAGGAGAGAGAGUUCACUGCCUCACACUAUGCAUUUGCCAGAUAUUUGCCACAGUAACCACAGAAAUGUUUGUGUCAGCACAAUGGAGAGAAGUGCACAAACAAGACGAGGAAGGCUCCAGGGGUACAGGAACUCUGUCUGCAACCGUGCCACCAAUAUCCAACCACAUCUGAGCCAAUAGAUAGUGACAAAGUAUUUAUUGGUGUGUCUGGACUCAGCAGAGCGUUGGAAGGUAAAUUGAUAGUGAGAAGAAGGAUCUUGGUGCAUAUAUCCCUGCCAUUGUCAUUAGAAACAACAUGGAGCGGGAAAUGCACUGAAGAAGGAAUGUAACCAUGAAGCUGAAUUUAAAUACCGUGACCUACAUUUUCCAUGACUGGUUUCCUCAGUAUCUCCUUAAUUGCUUUCAUGCCCUGUUAAAUAAGUAGAUGAGAGUCCUGUUUAUUUUUAUGCGCUCGCUCUCUCCUAGACCUGGAUUCCCAGCAGGAUGUCCCAUGGGCUGAGCAGGCUCUGCUGAGCUGGGAUGUUUAUGGAAGGCCGUGUCUGCCACGUCCCAGCCCACAGCACACCGAGUGCCCAGCAGCUGUAAAGGCUGUUCAUACCGUAAGGCAUUUAUUAAGCACUGUUUGAACGUUCAAGGCAGGGAGAUGACAUUACUGAUGAAUUUAGGCUUUCUUUUUGCUCACUGAAUACUUGUGGUAAGGUUAUUUACUUCUUUUUGGUGCUAUUCAGAAGCAGUGGGGAGGUAAUUCUUUUGCUGCGUGCUUCUCCAAUGAUGUUGAGCAGUGCUGUGUGAUUAUAUGGGUUGUGCUUUGUUAAUUAUUACCACUUAGGAAAAAAAAGCACAUCACAUUGUUUCUGCACCGAGUGGGUGAGCACACAAGCACUUCCAGAACAAAUACCCAGCUGCUGAACUCUGAGGGCAUGUCCAUAUCACACAAUAGAGUGGGGCAGCACAUCCUCGGUUAAUGCUGAACAGACCAGCCCUAAAACUGGAAGCAACAGGGCUGUGCUAGCACAAGGCAACAUUUUUGCAACUAAGAAGGGAUUGUUAGUUGGAAUGUAACUUCGUGCUAACAGCUAUGCUGCUUUCAGGUCUGGGCCUGGUGUGGUUGUGAGGGCAAUUCCUAGCUGUCUGGGUGUACCAGGCUGGCUUCUCGACUGUGCUAGAAGGUAAUGGUAGAUCUAUACAUAGAAGCAUCGAAUCAUAGAAUCAUUUGAUUUGAAAGGGACUUUUAAGGCCAUCUGGUCCAACCCCCUACAGUGAGCAGGGACACCUACAGCUCCAUCAGGUGCUCAGAGCCCCGUCCAGCCUGACCUUGAGUGUCACCAGGGAUGGGGUACCACCACCUCUCUGGGCAACCUGUACCAGUGCCUCACUAUCUUUAUUGUAAAAAAAUGUCUUUCUUAUAUCCAGUCUAAAUCUCACAGUG